AAGUAAACUUCAGUUAGUGCUAAAUACGGCUGCUAGAAUCCUCAAGCCCUCAGAAAAUAAAUUGCAGACCUACACAAGUCACGUUCAUCCUGGGGAGCAAUUUCCAAAUCUUCUUUUAUUGUUGCUCUUUUAUUUUUUACUUUAGUUUAUUUAGUAAAUAUUUUUCUUAACUUUUAUUUUUCUUAAAACUGCAUUGUUGGUUAAUGGCUUGUAAGUAAGCUAAGAUGUUUUUUAUCCGGUGAGAAUCAGUGUGAUGCCAGCUGGUGCCCCAGUGUAUGUGAAACGUAUCUGCUUUGUCCUACUUCUCCCUUUAAUCCCUCUCUUGUCUGUAGGAAUUUUGUCCUGUCUACAGUCAGCUUGAGGGUGGUACAUGUGAAUGCACAGGACGGUGUGACGAAGCCGCUACUGCGAAAGCAUUGCAAGGCACUGCACGCUGUGGCCUGUCACCCCCAGCAACCAGUUGUUGCCUUGGGCAGCACAGUGGCAUCCUGAAGGUGUGGGACUAUGAGCGCAAGGUGUCCAUCUGCAGCAGGGUCUUUGAGAAGGAGAGGCAGAUUCAGUGUAUCGCCUAUGACCCCCAAGGUGACCCAGCAGGCCAGAGGCUUUUGUCAGUUUAAUUUCCUAUAAGUGAAUCUAUAUGCAUACGUAGAAAGAUCUCACAUUGAUAUUCUUACAAUUGAUUUGUGUUAUACGGAGAACUCCCCUUAAAAACAACAUGUUCUCUGUCUGUGUUUGUGUGAGUUGGCUCAGCUUUGACCAGGCUAUCCUGUGUGUCAGUGAACAGGAUUAUACUUGGCGGUUGGAUUUGCAAGUGGAGCUGUCCAUGUACUGGAUGCUUGCACAUAGCAGAGUGAGGCAGAGGAGCGACUCAACUACAGCCAAGACUGCAUCACUCACAUUACCUUCUCUCCAGACUCCCUCUACCUGGCCACAGCAGUGAGCAGACACUAUGUGGUUCUGGCAUUGGGAUUGGAAAGUAAGAGGUUUGAGCCCUCUACCUUGAAGCAUUAUAAUCAAACUGAAGCUAACAAAUUGCACGUUUCCCUCGUGUUUUGUUGCUACUGUCAGGAUGCUGGAAAAGCGGAAAUGGUGUUUGGCUUAUACACUGGUAGGAGCGUGCAGUGCUGGAAGUACCUGGUGAGGCAUCACUCCUACUAUAAGCCCAUCAGCGACUUCCUAUUUGGGGUGUACCUGGACAGCACCCAACCCAGACUAUUCUCCCUGGGCAUGGACCAGACCUUCACACUUAGUAGGGCUCUGGUUUACUUACAUGCAGUGGUUCUUUACUUGCUGAACCACUAGGCAUGCUGAAACACGUUGGAUGACUUUGCCUUGGUAUGUGGUGGUGAUUGAUUAGGUGGAGUAUGACCUGGAGAAUAGCAAUGAGAAUGAGCUGCUGAUCCUGAGCGCAUUGAGCAGAGCGUCGGGCCCACCUGUGUGGCUUGGUGCACACCCAUCACCACAGAGGAUUUCCUGCUCACCGCCUCUGGCCUCUACAAAAUGAAGCUUUUCAACAGGAUCACCAAGAUGUGCAGGUGGAUCUCGAGAUUCUGCCCAUUGAUGGGAACCCCCAAGUCCUCUGCUCUGAUUUGCCACCCAACAGGGGUAUCUGCUAUGGCCUACUCCAAUGACGUUCUAUAUGUCUUCACUGCUGGGGGUCUGACUGAAGUCCUCUCAUGGUAGAUUAGUUUAAAGAAAUGGAGGACUUUUUCUAUUACUGUCAGCUGCGUAAACAAGGCAUUGACUCCAUGGAGAUCCGACAGGUGUCCACCCGAAUCCCACUAGCAAAGGUCCCUUUUAUCAUAAGGGCUCUGGGCUUCUUCCCCAUUGAGCAAGAGCGGAACACAUCACUGAGGACAAGCUGGCAGAAUUUUUCACCACACUGGUAGGACUGAAUCCAGAGAGGGGGAGAUCUGAGCUGGAAGCCAUUGAAUGUGAUGGAACAGGGUGAGUCCUUAUCAAACUCACCUCCUCCUGCUCCUCCGAAUCAAUUACCGUCCUGUCCGUUGGGGCUCAGAGGAGAUCCCUCCCCUAAGCACAUCGCUCUAGGCACCACAGCGCUGUCAGGUUGUGGCCGCCGGCUCCUUGGGUGUUGUGGGGGACCCUUCGUCUGGGGUCGAGGCUCCCUUUCUUCUGUUCCACCCCAGGGCUUCCGUGGCUACCAUGGCCACUACCUGGGGGGUAGUCUCUACUCGUUUCGCUACCAGCAGGUUGCGGGAGGACCACAGUGCUUCCUUCAGACAUGUGAGGGUGGGCCAGAGCUUGGUGAAGGCCCUUGGUGGAAUAGGCCUUCGGCCCACCCCAUACAGCACGAGCUGGGGCGUUAAGUCCUCCCCUGCUGGCAGACACGGGGAGAUCAGGGGGCCUGUUUCAUUCCACAGUUCCCUGGCAGCUCUGCACUCCCAGAGCGAGUGCCUCACCAACUCAUCUUGGCCGCAGCCUGGUCGAGGGCACGCGGAUGUCCUCGCCAUGCCCCGGGAUUGCAUAACGGCCCUGACUUGGAGGAUCUCGUGGGCGACCAUCUAGGACAGGUCCCGGUGCCAAUUCAGCAGUGCAAGAUGGGCCACAUUGCGCCAAACCGUUGUGGGCUCACCUAUAGUAAGCCUGCGCACUGUACACACUGGUUCCUGCUCCUGCACAAGAGAGAGAAGAGAGCGGUGUUUAGUUAAAACCGUGACUGCUUCUUUUUCCAGUUUAAAAUGUCUUAACUUCUGGAGCUGGACAUAGUGUGUGGGGAGCAGAAAAGAGACUGGGGCUCGCAGGUCGACUGGGAUCAGCCUCAGGGUUCUGAGGUAAGAUCCCAGGCAGAACCGUGCUAGGGCCUGGGUCUUGUUGUUGAACGGGGAGGUGGCAAGAGUGAGAUGUAAAUCAUGACGGGGAGGUGGCAAGAGUGCUGUAAAAGACUCAUGGGAAGUAUCUAGUUCAUGAAGCACACACAUACAGAAUACAGGUUUCCUCAUGGGUGCAGUUUGAUGUGACCUUUAAUUGGCUAUGAUUGGCUAAUAAAGAUCAAUUGAAUACAGCAUAUGUUAUGACAAGAAAAAAUAAA